UACGGAGGGGGCUAGCGUUGUUCGGAAUUACUGGGCGUAAAGCGCGCGUAGGCGGACCUGCAAGUCGGGGGUGAAAGCCCGAGGCUCAACCUCGGAACUGCCUUCGAUACUGCGGGUCUCGAGUCCGGGAGAGGUGAGUGGAAUUCCUAGUGUAGAGGUGAAAUUCGUAGAUAUUAGGAAGAACACCAGUGGCGAAGGCGGCUCACUGGCCCAUUACUGACGCUGAGGCACGAAAGCGUGGGGAGCAAACAGG
rnacentral:rRNA from 1 species